rnacentral:tRNA from 1 species
GGGGCUAUAGCUCAGUUGGUAGAGCGCUUGAAUGGCAUUCAAGAGGUCAGGAGUUCGAAACUCCUUAGCUCCACCA